AUAUGAAAAGGAGCUAGAAUUGUUGUUGUUUUUUUUAAUUAAUUAAUUUAUUUUUUAACACCUUAGCUACUGGUUCUAAUUUCUAAGCUUACUCCUCUGUUGUUUGGUUCGUAGCUGACAAAAUUGAUGGAACAGAAAGAAAGAAAAGAUUUCAAUAUACAUUAAGCAAGCCAAAUGUCAGAAAUUGGAUAUAAUUUUAGUGUUGUUCAUCACGUAUUAUUGGCUUCUUCCAUGUUGGGGUAUCCAAGAUCUUCUGGUAUCUGACCGCCCAUAUAUUCUGUUCAGAAACAUAUUUCAAUUCUAUGGAAGCAGUACAUGAUAUUUGCAAACUCUAGUAAUAACGGAAGCAGUGAGCAACCUCUUGGUAUUUUACCUCAUCAAAUCCAUGGUUCCCUAGGACACUUUUCACAGGACACUUGUGGGCCACUCCUCAGACAGUUUUGCACGAUUUGCUGCAGCAUUAAAUAGAGUACAUUGUAAUAUAACAAGAAGAGGAUAAGGGCCUCUGAAGAGUUAUUAUUGUCUGUCGACAUGGCAGCUCGGAGAGUCUCCUCCUUACUCUCUCGCUCUCUCUGCUAGGUCUGCUUCUAAGCUUCUCUCUCAAGGGAGAAGUGUCAGUAGAUUUAGCACUGCUGCAGUAAGUGAAGAGUUGAUCACCCCACCUGUUCAUAUGAAUUGGCAGCCAGAUUAAACAAAAUUACAUACUUUCCAGGCUCAGAAAUCAUUGAUGUUGAACAGCAGCAGAGGAGCAAUGGUGACAGCUUUUUCGAUAUUGAAGAGCUCCUGCAGAUUGGGACCAGAUGCAGAGGGGUGUGGUUUCUGCUUUUGAAAGUAAAAGAAAAAAUAUAUUGGUUAUGUUGUGCAUCAAAAUUAUGAAUAUGAACUGCAAUACGAUAGGAAUUAACUGAAUUAUAUCCAACCAAGCAGCUUAAGAAGGCUGACUAUUCAACCAUAUAUUCCACCAAUCACAACAUUGGUGUGGUGAUCCAUAGUCACCAAUGCAUGAACAGUACCCAUCAGUUGAGGCACCAAAAAAACUGAUAGUGAGCCCAUGGGUAAUUGUCACGCCACUUUUAGCAACCCAAACAAUAAUGGUGAGUGGGUUGGUGUCUAUUGGCUUUACACACCAUUCAUUGGUGGUCUGAAGCCCAAUACACACCAUUAAUAAUGGUGUCUAAAGCCCAAUUUUGUGGUAGUGUAUCUUCUUCAUUCUUUAUUAUUUCAGUUCAGUUUUGCAUUAUGAAUUAUAGCCUAUUCUGAUAAUAUAUCUAUUUGUCUCAGGAGGUUGAAAUCGAAAUCAAUAUUGAUGAAGAAAACUGGAAAUGAGCAGAAACAACAAAAGAGACAACCACAACAACUAGGAAAGAGGCAGCCACCACCACCAGAGCUGAGCAGCCUGAGCCAUCACAGCAGUGGAAACCACAGCCACCAAUACAUUCAGGUGUUUCUGAUCAUGACAUAUCUUCUGAGGUCAAAAACAUACAUGGCGUUACAAAGGGGAUAGAAACUCAUGAUGAUAUUGUCACAGCUUCUAAUGAGAGAAUUCUAAUUCUAAUUCAGAUGAAUGAGGAUCAAAAGCUCCCAAAUGGUGUCCAAGCUAAUUCUAGGUUUGUUUCAGAAAUUGGGUCUCGAACACGUUCUUUAGCUCUACUUAAUGUCAAAACCUGGAAGGCGGUUAAACUAGAACAUAAAGACGAAAUUAAAAAGGGGUUGUUGGUGAGUGGUAUUAUUUACUUGCACUAGAAUCGAUUAUAUUGUUGGGUUUAUAAUAUAUUUUAUUAAACUAAGCUCUUCUUGAUUUGCUGUAAUGUUAGCAUAAGUUUGAUGUCAAUUUGGACGAACCUGCCAUUGCAAAAUUUGUUGAAAAUAAGAUGAACAACACAUUCAGAUCUUGGAAAGGCAAACUGCACAAGCACUUCAAAAAAUAUUCUAAUGACAUUGAUUAUGCAAGGUCUCACCCUCCCAAUGAGAAAGUGUUUGGUGAUAGGGAGAUAAGUGAUUGGGAGUAGCUGUGUGAUAAUUUGUACACAGAUCAAGCGUAUCAGAAGCGUAGUAAGAUCAAUACUAUCAAUAUUAAUAAGAAAAAAUAUAAUCAUUGUGGUGGUUCACGUCCUUUCACGAAACACAUAACACAUGGAAGCCACAGAACAGAAAGGUAAAAAUGUGACCUAUGUUGAGAAUUGGGGUGUCAUGCAUCAACAUUGAGGCAGCAAUGGUGGUGUUUGGAUCAAUGAAGAAGCGGAGAGGACAGGAAAAAAUUUGAUUGAAGAGUUGAUUAAAACCAAGCGACAGUUGGCUGAGUCUGAGGAUACCCCAUUUGAAGAUGUUGUAGUGUCUAUCCCUAUGCAAUUAGAUAUCUUGGCUAAGGAGCUCGGAACUAUGAAGGGUAAGACCAUUCGAGGUGUGGGCUAUGGUAAAAAGGACAGAUUUUGUUCUUCAAUCCCUGCAUCCACGUCUAACCCAACAAAUGAGACAUGCUCAAGCUCUCAUCUUGAUGCGACACCGCAUGGAUAAAUCACUCUGUUUGGAGUAUAUGUCGAUUAGAGAUGCACGAGAAUUUUGGGUAGCGCUAGAAGAGCGUUUUGGAAAUAUCCAAGAUUCUCUCCUUCUUGACUUGAAAGUACAAUGCGGCAAUUCGCGUUUUGCUGACUUCAAGUCCGUUGCUGAAUAUAAUUUAGAAGCUCUUCGCCUCACAUCCAUGUUGAGAUUCUGUGGACAACCUGUCAACAAGAGCUAAUUGAGAAAACUCUCUCCAUCUUCCCCUUAGCGCUUUUGGUAUCAAAGCAAUAUAGAGGUGAGUACAAUGCUAGACGGAUCACGAGGUUCAAUUAGCUAAUCAAUAUGAUGUCUGUAGUUGAAAAACAUGAUAACAUCCUUGUGAGAAACUAUAAUUCAAGGCCCGUUGGAAUUAAGAGCAUUUCGAGGCGAAUUAUAAUGCACCCAAAGGAGGGCGCAAGGAGAGGAACCCUAAAGUUAAGGGACAAAACGGGCGUGUAGGUCCAUACGACUGCCCUAAAAAGGAAAGAAAUUGCCAAAAUAGAGCGGGAACACGUGGCAAGAACGCCACAAAGGAGAGAGGAGGGCAUGGUGCCGCCGGCCAUAGGCAUGGCGUCACCGUCCAACAUGGAUGCCAAAAUCUCCCUCGUGCACAAGGUGCACCUCAAUUGAAGGGAGGCAACCAUAAUGACUUGUGUCAUCAAUGUGGAUCAAGUGAGCAUUGGUUCAAACAAUGCAAAGCAAGCAAUCAGUUAGCUGCAAGAUACAAGGAAAAGCCGGCUAUCACAGACCGGCGCUGCCUUCCCCCUGUAGCCCCAACAUGGCUUUGACGCCACAUGUGCUCCUUUGACACCAAAUUCUACUUCUAAAGUCAAUUGUGACUUCAUGGCUUAACCAAAAUCCUCAUUGGUUGCUUCUACAACCCAUCAUUUGUUCUGCAAAGCCUGCUCUUUACUCUUUAGCAAAGUUAGGAUCGAGACCAUCCUAUGAAAAGGACAUAAAAAAAACAUAUCAUUCUUGCAAAGAAUCCAAGGUGAGAUUUGUGGACCUAUUCAACCACCUUGCAGACCAUUUAGGUAUUUUAUGGUGUUGGUUGAUGCAUCGACACGCUGGUCACAUGUCAUGCUAUUGUCCACAAGGAACGCUGCAUUUGCUAUACUCUAGCACAAAUUAUUAAGUUAAGGGCUCACCACCCUGAUCAUCCUAGUAAGUCUGUAAGACUUGACAAUGCCGGGGAGUUUACAUCAAAAACUUUUGAUGAUUAUUGCAUGUCCAUUGGGAUUGAAGUUGAACAUCCCGUUCCUCAUGUUCACACCCAAAAUGGUCUCGCAGAAGCUGCCAUUAAACGACUUCAAAUGUUUGCUAGGGUAUUGGUUAUGCGCACCAAUCUCCCUAUUUCUACUUGGGGCUAUGCAAUAUUGCAUGCAGCUGUUCUUAUUCGUCUGAGAUCCACUGCCACUCAACUCUUUUCUACUUCCUAAAUGGUUAUUGGGUUUGAGCCUGAUGUCUCACAUUUACGCAUAUUUGGGUGGGCAGUUUAUGUGCUAAUUGCGCCGCCACAGCGCACCAAAAUGGGUCCUCAAAGAUGAUUAGACAUUUAUGUUGGAUAUGACUCUCCAACUAUUAUUCGUUACUUAGAACCCUUGACAGACGAUCUCUUUAACGUUAGAUUUGCGGAUUGUCACUUUGGUGAGACAGUCUUCCCGUCGUUAGGGGGAGAUAAGAACAUAAAUGUUCAACAGGAACGAUAGGAAUAGUCGUGGUCUGUCCCCACUUUGUCUCAUCUUGAUCCUUGAACCGCACAGUCCGAAAUUGAAGUGCGGAAAAUUUUCGAUCUUCAGAACGUAGCAGAAUCGAUGCCUGAUGCGUUUUCUGAUAUCACUAAAGUGAUGAGAUUACACAUACCUGCUGCAAAUGUACUUGCAAGGAUUGAUGUCCCUAAAAUUAGAGGACAUGACGCCAUCUCAAGUGAGACUGAACAUGGCGCCAACGUCCCCUCCUAUGGUGACAUUGUGGCUUGGCCCACGGCUCCUGCCAGAAAGCGCAGGAGGCCCAAAGGUUCGAUGGAUUCUCACCCAAAAAAGAAAGCGAGUUUGGCACAAAAUAAUCCAUUAAUCUUUGAUGUAAAAAAUCCAUCUCAUGUAGAUAUUUUGGAUUAUGGUUAUGUCUGAGAGACAUCAUUAGGGGAUAGUCCAAUGUCAGAACCAAUUCCAGAGAAUAGAGAGAUCUCCAUGAAUUAAACUAGUGUACAUAAGACGAUGAAUAGAAACUAUAUUACUAUUAAUGAUAAUUUUGCAUAUUCUUUUGCAAAAGGAAUUAUAGAGUAUGAUGAUAUCGAACCUCGUUCUUUUGAAGAAUGUCAACGAAGAGCGGAUUGACAUAAAUAGAAAGAUGCGAUACAGGCUGAAUUAGAUUCACUAGCAAAGAGAUAGGUAUUUGGGCCUAUAACGCAGACACCCCCAAAUGUAAAGCCUGUUGGCCAUAAAUGGGUAUUUGUUAGAACGCGUAAUGAGAAAAAUGAGGUUGUUAGAUAUAAAGCCCACCUUGUGGCGCAAGGUUUCUCACAACGCCCUAGAAUCGACUACGAGGAGACAUAUUCUCCCGUAAUGGACGUCAUAAUGUUCUGCUACCUUAUCAGUUUGGUAGUUUUUGAAAAACGUGACAUGCGGCCACUAUGCUAAAAAAAAAAAAGCUAUCAGACGACAGAGGAGGUCUGUCGUCUGAUAAAAAAAAAUUUCUGUUGUCUAGUACGGUGUUGUCUCUUAGCGGUAUCAGACGACAGAUCUCCUCUGUCGUUUGAAAAAUCAGACGACAGAAGGUUUUCAGGUCGUCUGUUGUCUGAUGAAACCCAAACAUCUGUUAGAGGAAUUCAGAAGACAGUUAUCUAUUGUUUGUAAUGACUUACAAUAACAGUUUACUGUUGUUUGUUUUAUAUUCUAAUAAUAGUUAACUGUUAGUUUAAGUACCAUCACAAGACAAUUAUUUGUUGUUGUACAUUCAUUUAAGAUACAAUUAUAUGUCGUUGUUUUUGUUUUGAGUCAACGAAAGUUUAUAUAUUUUUGUCUUUGUUUUUA